AUGAGCUACGACCGCACCAUCACCAUUUUCUCGCCCGCCGGCCACCUUUUCCAAAUGGAGUACGCGCAGGAGGCCGUGAAGAAGGGCUCGACUGCGGUCGGUGUUGGAGGGAAAGACACUGUUGUUCUUGGUGUGGAGAAGUCAGUGUCCAAACUGCAGGAUGAAAGGACAGUGCGGAAGAUCUGUGCUCUGGUGAUAAUGUCUGCAUGGCAUUUGCCAGCCUUACUGCUGAUGCAAGAAUAGUCGUCAGCAGGGCCCGGGUGGACGCCAGAGCUACCGACUGACCGUGGAGGACCUGGUCACCGUGGAGUACAUCACCCGUUGUAUCGCCAGUAUGAAGCAGCGCUACACGCAGAGCAACGGGUGCUGGCCAUUUGGCAUCUCUGCCCUCAUUGUGGGUUUUGACUUUGAUGGCACCCCCGACUGUAUCAGACUGACCCCUCGCGCAUAUACCAUGCCUGGAAGGCCAAUGCUAUAGGCCGGGGUGCCAAGCCAGUGCGUGAAUUCCUGGAGAAGAAUUAUACUGACGAAGCCAUUGAAACAGAUGAUCUGACUAUUAAGCUGGUUAUCAAGGCCCUUCUGGACGUGGUUCAGUCAGGUGGCAAAAACAUAGAGCUGGCUGUCAUGAGGCGAGAUCAACCCCUCAAGAUUUUAAAUCCUGAAGAGAUUGAAAAAUACGUUGCUGAGAUUGAAAAAGAAAAAGAAGAAAAUGAAAAGAAGAAACAAAAGAAAGCAUCAUGAUGAAAUGAAAUUUUGCUUGUAAUGAUUUUUAAAUUCAAAUCAUGGCUAAUUUCCAAAAGGAUACAUAUGCGUUUCCAUUCCAUUUAUCCGUAUUGUCCAAGUGUCCUACAAUAAAUUUGCCUAUUUUUUAACCU